UUCACUAUAAAUUUUCUAAUGAAAGACUUUAGCGAAUUGCAAGAUAUCAUCAAAGCAAUAGUAAAUAUGCAAUUUGUAUCAUAUGGAUAUUAGAUGAGAAAAGGCUUUGAAGGAACAGAGAGGAAAGGGAACAAGUGGAAGGAGGAAUUUAGCUAACAUGGCAGAAUCUCCAUUGGAUCAUGAAAGAAUACUACUCAAUAGCAUAAGCAAAGGAUACAUCUCAAGAAAGCAACAUCACUUCUCUCAUUUAACAAGAGCUUAUGAAGAUGCUAAAAGGAAAAAUGGCAGACACUGUCGAGGUUAACUUUGCUCAUCUUAAGAACUUUACAGGACCUGCAGAAUGAGAAGAUUUUGGCUAUUGGUAAGCUAGUAGGACAAUUAUAUAUAUUAGACAAGUCUUGCUUCUUAAGCAGUAAAGUUAAUGAAUGUAGUCAGUUGCUUUCACAACUAGUGUUAGAAAAUUACAUGAAUUCUUGCAUUGAAAUAGUUCUUUCAUGGAAUGGCACAAAAACUUCGACAUCUUUCUUUACCAAUUUUAAAACAAAUUGAUUUUCUUAAAAAUUCUUGUGCUAAGACUGAUGUUGAUCUCCUAAGUCAAUGUGAUAUCUGUCAUAGAGCCAAACAAACCAGCCUAAGCUUUCCUAAUAGCAAAAUUCAUAUUAACUCUAUUCUCAAUCUAAUACAUGUUGAUUUGUGAGGGCCCCAUAAACAAAGUUCAUUAAUUGGAACUCCUUAUAUGCUGACCAUAGUAGAAGAUUUUAGUAGGUCCACAUGGGCUUUUCCGCUUGUUCAUAAAAUACAAACUACCCUGACCUUAGAAAGUUUCUUUAGAAUGGUUGAUACUCAAUUCAACAAGAAAGUCAAAUGUGUAAGAACGGACAAUGGCACAGAGUUUACUGGUUCUGAAUGCCAAUCCCUUUUUAAGUCCCUUGGAAUUCAAAAUCAAAGAACUUGUGCUUACACUCCACAACAAAAUGGAGUUAUGGAGAGAAAGCAUAGACAUCUCAUACAGAUAGUCAAAUGCUUGAUAUAUCAAGCUCAUAUACCUUUGAAAUUCUUGCCUUACUCUCUUCUAUUGGCAACUCACAUUAUAAACAUAACCCCUAGCUCAGUUUUACAAUGGAAAACUCCUUUGAAAUACUAUAUGGCCACAAACUUGAGUAUGCAUCUGAAGACUUUUGGAUGUUUAUGCUAUGUUACAAACACUAGACCUCACAAAGAUAAAUUUGAGAAUAAAGCCUUUAAAUGUGUUUUCUUAGGCUAUAACCAUGAUAGAAAGCUUUUAAGGUGUUUGACAUGACCACAAAACAUGUAUAUAUGUCUAGAGAUGUAUCUUUCCUUUCGAAAAGCAAACUAUUCAAACUAAAUCUAUCCCUUUACUAUUGAUACCAGUUGCUGAACAUUAUCCGCCCAUAAACUAUAUCCCUCAAAUAGAUGUCACAUUACAAUAUGAUAGAGAAUCAACACCUUUCACAACUUAUGAAAAUGAAAAUCCUCAACCAGAAAUAAACAUUGAAAUCUUAUCUCCUAUCCAAGAACAUCAACCUGAUUUACUGAUAGAUAGCACAAAACACUCUUCUGAAACACAAGAACUAGUAUACCAAGCAAAGUAUAAGAAUGAAGACUAAACCUGCUUGGUUGCAAGAUUAUGUUACAAAUAUAUAUGUCUUAUCUAGCACAUUUGAUUCAGCUAAUGAUUCUCAAUGCAGGAAUGCUACUUCUUCAGCUUACACACCUCAUACAUUCCCUUACAGAAUGUCACCUUACCUUAAUCAUGCAUAUGUGCGUUUUUUGGCAAAUAUUUCUAAUAUGCAGGAACCACAAACAUAUCAACAAGCUAGUAAGUAUCCAAAUUGGAUUUAAGCCAUGAAUCAAGAGAUUCAAGUACUUGAAGGUAACAAGACUUGGAAGUUAACUGGUUUACCAAAAGGAAAGAAGGCUAUCGGUUUGAAAUGGGUGUAUAAGGUGAAAUUGAAGCCAGGUGGAACAGUAGACAAGUUCAAGGCAAGGUUAGUGGCCAAAGGCUGCCAUUAAAUAGCUGGAGUUGACUACUUUGAUAACUUCUCACCAAUGGCAAAAAUAGUUAUUGUGAGAAUCUUCCUUGCAAUUGUAGCAAUUUAAAAUUGGUCUUUAGAACAACUUGACAUCAACAAUGCUUUCCUAUAUGGAUCUCUAGAUGAAGAAGUUUACAUGAUCCCAUCAAAGGGAUAUCAGAAGGCUACAGAGGGAAAAGUUUACAAAUUACAGAAAAGUAUGUAUGGCCUCAAAUAGGCCUCUAAACAAUGGAACACGAAAUUUAAUGAUAUGAAUCAAGGCUACCAUGAGAUUCCAUUGCGAAGGCAUGCGCCAGGAUGUCCAAAAUGGAAAUGUAACUCAUGCAUGAAAACAAGAGUCCAGCCUUAUAAUGAAGCAUUCAGUCCAUUUGAAGAAUAAAAGUCAUUCGAUCAUGAUUAGGCUUUUGGGCUUAAUUCAUAUUUACAUGGGUUCUUAUCUUUUUGGGUUUUAGCUUAAGUAAUUAUUUUAGUUUAUCUUUAUUUAAUUAAAGAAUAUUUUAUUAGGUGUGAGUUAUAUGUAUUGUGUGUGGAGUUACAAAUUAGAGCACAUAUUUCGUUGUUAUUUGAGAGUUACAAAAUAAGUGCCAUCAAUGUAAAAACAGCCACUUUGAAUGAGUUUUAAGGGGAAUUAAAGGGAAAAA